GUCUGCUUGUCCAAAUUGGUAAAGGAAGGAGACUUAAAAUCUCCCGGCUGUAACAGCCUUAUGGGUUCGACUCCCUUAGCAGAUA
rnacentral:tRNA from 1 species